UGCAAAACUUGCAAAACAUUUGCACUGGUUUUCGGAUGGGCAGAAGGUGUGUUGCAUAGAGAUACGAGAGAAAAUAAUGCUUCCAGCUGGAAAAUUUAAUUAAUUGGUCGACAUUAGUAUUGUCCACGAAUUCUCUUUCUUCGUAAACGCUUUCUGCGAGCUUCGUAUUUCAUUCGUUUCUCUAUCUCGUACACAUCUUGAUACACAUCGCAUGAGUGAAUCGAAUAUUGCUAAGUGACCUGUGACUGAAUAACAUUUUCAACUCGUUUGAUGAACAAUCGUCCGUGCGGAUGUGUUUAUAUCCGGGUGCGCCAAAUAAAAAUUACGAAAAUGUGUGAAAGUUAGUGCAGGCUUUUUUCCAACGACACACAGUGCCAGGGGCACGCUAAGCAAAAAUAUAACUUUCGGAGGAAAUUUUCAUACAACGUUAUGAUGUAGUGUUUCUCGAUGGCGGUUUUCGGUGUUUCUCCCCACGAAUAAUCAGUUUUUCGUGCGCUAAAUACAUCCGUGUUUGCCCUUUGAGGGAUACAUGGAUGCAGCGAACGGCCAAAAGCCCCUCGCUGGGCCUGUGCCCAUCGGAGGUGGCAAUGGCACGGAUAAAAGUAAAGAAUGGCAGAUGGAAUUACUCAUGGAAAAGCUGCGCUCGAAAGGGUCUGCUUUCAAAACACUUGUGGAAACAGCAAAAAAUCUCAGGAUGGCUAUGCUGGACAAAAGAUUUGCUAUUGACAGCGUAGAAAAAAAUCAGCUACAGAAAUGUUUGGAUACUCUUCAACACUCCAUAAAAGUAACUUCGCUCCAGUCAAUGGUGGAGCGAUUGGAAAGUCUUAGCAGACAAUUAGGUUUGAAGUUCAUGUCGGGUCCUGCCGGUACAGAACUUUUCAUCACUUCGGACAUGUUCUUUGUGGAAAUUCUUUUGGAAACAACAGGCGUUGUGAAAGAUGUGAAAAUUCAUCACGAAGGAAAAACUGAACAACAGAGUGGAGAAGAAUUAGUUGCUUGUCUAUCGCGCGGAGACUUUGUUGACUUUACGGCACAGUUAGAAGGUCUAGCAUCAAAUUACCAACUCAAUGCUGACAAAAAAGUCAAGUGCAAGGCCUUCAGCGCGCUUCAAUCUCUCGAAGCGGAUCUUGGUGUAUUGGCCCAGUUACAAACUUUCAUGAAAGAGCCUUUCAAUCUCGUGCACAAAAGUCCAGUUGGUAUUUUAGAAAGGCGAAAAGGUGGUCAUGCCAUGAAACUCACUUACUUCGUAUCUCCUUACGAUCUGAUCAACCAAGAAAACCGAAUUUGCGAUCAGCUCAGUCCAGAAAUCGUCAUGACGAGGAAAAUUGGUCACUCUGUAACAAUUUGUAUGGAAGGUUCUGCAUCACACAAACUGCCAACUUCGAGUAUAAUCACCGUCAACAGGAGUCCAACUGGGAAAAGUACACCUUCCUACGCACCUUUGACAAGUGCGAACUCGUCAAUGUUGCCAGCUUGUUUCGUUCUCAAAUUGGCCAAGAAAAUGCCAAUGUGUAUGGAGCUUGUACAGAGAAUACAAAAAGUAACGGAGCUUGAUUGCGGCGACGUUUCGGCUCCUCAUCCACUUUUAAGUCUCAUCGUUCAACACGCGAGUGGUGGGCAGUUGGAUUGUCGAAACAACCGGGGACUUUACGUGACGCUGCCGGAUCAGCAGCACUGUUACUUCAUGACGGAGAACAAGAGUAUGGAAGGCGUAUUGGUCGGGAGUAUACCAUUCACACACCCAGCGCACGUGCCCCAAAUAUUGGUGUAUUUGCGUCAGCAGGCAUUAUUUAACACGUUAUUGAACAGUUGCGUGCGAUCGAUGGCGCGUCAGGAGCUCGAGCACACGACAAUGUUCGAGGUGAGCGCACUGUCGUGGCAGCAUAUAUCGGUGAGUCUGGAGCAUCCAUUCGAGGAGACAAUGGCAACGGCGGAGUUGGAUUUGACGGACAUAUCGGCUGUGAAAUGCAAAUUGUACGGUGUGAGUAUGAAUAACACCGAAGCGACAUCGGAUUUGGUUGGCAAAGUGUUGCAAAGGUGCCUUAGUAUACCGUUAACGAUGAGAACGUUGAUAAAAACGUGGGAAGGUCGAACGAGCACGUUGCCGUUGGCAAGUUUGGGUGGAAACAACGGUAGUACGGGCGGUGGAACGCCGAACGGUGGAAAUUACGGCGUUGGUAAUUUAGGAUCCGGACAAAAUGGCCACGAGAACAACGGUCAAACGGGAAUGCCGGAUUUCAGCAACGGUACUGAGCCGAAACUGAAACAAGAGCCCGGUUUAAACGGAAGCAAUGGUAACGCAGCGACGGCGAGGAACCAAACCCCGCAACCGUUGCAGCAGCAGCAGCAGCAGCAGCAGCAACCUCCUCCACAACAACAACAGUCUCAACAGCAGCAGCAACAGCAGUUACCACAGCAACAGCCGCAACAACAACCACAGCAACAGCAGCAGCAGCAGCAACAACAACAACAAUCACAACAGCAUUUUUUAGAUGCCGGAACGGAGAAUAGUAUCGGUUUUCCGUCGUUUUCCGGCCAGUCCGAUACAACAAACACACCUGCGAUGCUGAAUCCAUUGCAAUUAGGCGCUCUGCUUAGCCAAAGCAAGAGCAGUUCACCUGUCGGUGGACUUUCGACCUCGAGUCAGUCAUCCUCUGGCGAAAGACCGAAGAAAACGCGCAAGCGUAAAACAGCCGAUGGCAUUUGGCGCAGUCCGAAAAGUAAAGGGGACGAUUCUGGAGAAAUUUUGUUGGAAAGUUCGAGUUCGGAUUCGACACCGCUGGGCACACCGACGGGGAGAGACAACGCGAACGGCACGAGAACUCCGACCCCAACGUCGGUUGCCGUCAGCCUCGUAAGUGGUCUCGACAUCACGAAUCUUGAUUCCAGCGAGAUCAUAUCCGGCGACACUCGGAGCUCCGAUUACGACGUUGAAGCUGAGAGCGAAGUCAUGGAAGUUCACGAUUUACCGGAUGAUUAUGGUGACGUUAUGAAGAGAGAAAAGAAGUCACGAAAAAAUCGAGAAGACAAAAAGAGUCCGAGCUUGUUCGAGGAGAACAAGGCUUCCAGUUUGGUUCCCCCUUCCGUCAGCAUAACUCCCAUUUCUAGUGCUAAUAUCGGUCAAUCUCCCAAUUACAAUUCCGUACUUACCGGUAUGGGCUUAGAGCGACGACCUGGAAUAGAAAUCAUACCAAUAUCUUCAACACCGCAAACAACUUUACCGAGUUCCAUAACGAUCACUCCGAUUGCAAAUCCAUCUAUAAAAUCUAUGAGCAGCGAGGAGCGUCGCGAUCGUAAGAGCAAACCAAGCAGCGACGAAAAAGGAAGAUUGGAGAAAAAGCGAAAACGAAAACGCGAGGACAGCCCCAUGGGACCACCGGACAAAUUGCCACCGAAACAACCGCCCCAAGACGCUCUGUCUAAACCCGUCUCCGUCAGCAUAAAACCAACCGAAACACAGCCGAACGUGAGCUCGAGGCCUUCCUCUCCAGCGACGAUGGUCAGAAAAUUUAAUCCAUCACCGACUCACACGAGCCCUUUAGCUCUAGUGGGCAAAUCGAGUCCUACGCUGAAGCAAAACGUUUCUUCGAGCAACUCGAGCGCUUCUACGUCUUCAUCGGCAGCGACAACGAGCUCGAGCAAAUCGAUACAGAGUCCGAAACAUUCGCCGGUUUAUAACAGCCCGAAACACGCUUCUUCCGGUGGAACGACAAGCGUAAGCCCGAAGCACGGAACUUCCUCACCGAAGCAUGGAAGUUCAACGAGCGCUGGUAAGCCGAGUAUGUCAGCGUUGAAAUCUGCAGCCGCGAAUAAUUCACCAUCUUCUUCGAGCAAGAGUUGCAGCGGCGAGCAAGCCUCCUCGUCGACCGCAACGACUUCGUCGUCUUCGUCCUCGUCCUCGUCAACGAAACCUAAGUCAUCCUCGAGCAAAGAUUCGAGUCGUGACAAAGAGCGUAAAAACAUGUCGUCGUCGUCGUCCUCCUCCACGAGUUUGUCAUUCAGCGGGAGCGGCUCCGGUCGCCAGAGUCCAAAGACUAAAUCGUCGAGCAGCAAGUUGAAACAGUUGGACGCCGCUCCGAGUAACAGCGGCGAGACUCCGCCGACCUCGCUACCGAGCAGCGGCAGCAGUACGCCGCCGUCGGGGAGUUCGGAUCUUGGAAAAUCUGCAACAGCCGCGCAACAACAACAGGCUCGCAAUAGAAAAGGUUCCCUGAGCGCUGUUAUUGAUAAAUUGAAAAAUGCUCAACACUGCACCGACGAAAUUAUUCCUGGGAGCGGCGGUGGCGGCGGUUCCGGAGGGGGAAAUGGCAGCGGAAACCCACAAAAAUCCUCCAGCGGUAACGGAAGUGGCAACGAGAGCGGCGGGGGCAGCUCGAGCCAAAAGGAUCGGGGACAGAGCGGAAGCUCUUCGAGCACGAAAGCUAGCGGCGAAGGUAAAUCCACUAGCAAAAGCAGCAGCCCAUCGAUGGAGGUGAAAAACUCAGCCGAGUACAUGGUCAAGCACAGUUCUGACGGAAUGAAAAUAACGAUCAACAAAACUCGUGCCAAGGACUCGAAAAGCGGUAGCAGUAUGAAAAUAGCAUCGAGCACGGGCUCGACGGUCAGUGGAGCAUUGGGAGUCCCGGUGGCUUCCUCGGGUUCGGGUAACGGAUCACCAAAAACUCACACGGGUCUUAAGCCCGGUGUGAAUUCGGGACCAGCAUCGAAGAAGCCGCAGACGCAGUCGUCGUUGAAGGUUGCGACCCAGAGCACCGGGGUUUCGUCGUCGUCGUCGUUCGGUAACAAAGUUGGUCCGACGAGCGGCAAGAUAUCAUCUUCGACGUCGAAAUCGAGUUCGAGCUCGAGUUCCACCGGCAGCGGUGGUUUAAUAGCGAAGAGCACAACGUCGAAAAUAUCGACGGGGUCUCCGAAGAUGUCGAGUUCCGGUGCUACGGAUUUGAGUAGAAAUCGUGAGAAGCCGCGAACGACGAAAUCAUCGGACAAAAGUGGCAGCGGGGGGAGCAGCGGCGGAGGCUUGUUCGCUUCGAAGGGUACGUCGGAUGCGCGGAAAGCUAGUCCCUCGGCGAUUCGCGAGGAAAGCGAGAGCGAGCGGGCGUUCAAAGUAUUGGCCGCUCACGUGACGCCUUCGGCACUGCCCAAUUUCCCACCUCAAUUGGUCGUCGAAGGUCUCAUUAAGCAGUUGGACACGAAAUUUCAAAUACCGAAAUUAUCCGCGCGGGCUAACGCUUCCGCCGACGUUUCCGACAAGAAAACAAACGCCGAAAAAGCUUCGCAGCCUAUACCGAGCCUCGAGCACCAGAGCACGAAACUCCUCGUCGACAACUUGGCUACCGUUAAAUUGGAACAAACGAAAAUUCCUCCGCAAAGCAAUCCAGCUCCGAGCUCGUUGAGCAAUAAUCCAAAAUCCGCGUCGUCCGCGUCCUCGGUCACGUCCUCUUCCACGGACACAGUCGAAGCGCCUGGUACAAGUAGACGAGAAACGGCACAAGCGAAAAUAGACAAUCUCGCGACGAGCUCGAGUACUCUGCCAAUAAUAAGCCUCGCCGGGGCCAUGAGUCCGGCGAGCCAUUUAUUGUUACAGCCAUCGGGUUCUCUCACUUCGACUACACCACCGUUGACGACACCCGGAGCCCACGAUUUAGACGUACCUACAAAUUUAUCGAUGUCCACGGGGGAAGAUUCGCGGGAUUCGUGCAAAGAGCUGUUGGUUUCGACCCCAUCGACGACGCCGAUCCGAGCAACCUCCGGUGUAGUUAAUUCUCAACAAACCUUUCCCAAAAGCAGUGUAACUAUGAGCAAUCCUCCGACCUCCUGCGUCGUCGUAACCGACGAAAUCGUUCCCAGCAGUGCACUCAGUCACGUCACAGUAGAGUCGCCAGCGAUAGUCGAAACGAGCGUGAUCCCGAAGCCGUCGGUUUAUCCAACCUCGACGGGCGUCACGAGCAGUCCGAUCGUCGGCGCAGUGGCGACAUCGGAAAGCCUUAAUUUGAGUACAAAACCAGCGGAUGCUGCCCUCAGCAAGUACAGCAAGAGUAUCGAGGACGGUAGAAAACCAAUCGACAAACCCGUCGUACCUCCAAAUUCUUCGACACCCUCAGCAUCGAAUUCGCCGAUCGAAGUUUCUUCCAAUAAAGCAGGAACGACGAUAGCCGGCUCCCAGGAAGUAGCCGAAUUGUUGCUGGAUUUUUCAACGCCCAAAGACGUUGCCAAAGUUCCGAUUGCUACGAUACCCGAGAGAGCUAUGAGCCUUCAAUCGGCACCGGUCAGAAGAAACACUCCGCCACCGCCCCCGCCGCCGCCGCCACCCCCGCCAGUUCUCUUCCCACCAAGUCCAUCCGUCAGUGUUCAUAUCGUUAAGAGCCCAGCACCGUCGCCAAGAGUAAUACCACCGUCGCCUCACGCAGCUUCACCGUGCAUCACCGACGACGAACUCAUGGACGAGGCACUCGUCGUUACGAUAGCUCGCGCUUGUUGGCUGAAUGACGUUUUGCCAAAUAACUCGGGAGUUAAAUUGUUUAUCGAACACUCGCAGCUCGAUUCCACAAUAAUCAAAUAAACAGAAACGGUUUACCGAGACGCCACUUUGCCAUUGAGUCUCGAGGAUGAGUCAAGAUAGGCUCGAGCCUCCCAUGGAAAAUCUACAGGUAGUGCUGCUCCUAGAUACUUUAAUUAACUCGUCGGGAUUCUUCAGUGCUUCCUUCGUUCAUACAACUGAGGAGACAAUAAAUACGUAAACAAAUCUACGAGCUA
rnacentral:misc_RNA from 1 species